GACGAACGCUGGCGGCGUGCUUAACACAUGCAAGUCGAACGGAAAGGCCCUGCUUGCAGGGUACUCGAGUGGCGAACGGGUGAGUAACACGUGGGUGAUCUGCCCUGCACUUCGGGAUAAGCCUGGGAAACUGGGUCUAAUACCGGAUAGGAGCCAUUUUUAGGGUGAUGGUUGGAAAGUUUUUUCGGUGUAGGAUGAGCUCGCGGCCUAUCAGCUUGUUGGUGGGGUAAUGGCCUACCAAGGCGGCGACGGGUAGCCGGCCUGCGAGGGUGGACGGCCAAAUUGGGGCUGGGAUACGGCCCAGACUCCUACGGGGGGCAGCAGUGGGGAAUAUUGCACAAUGGGCGCAAGCCUGAUGCAGCGACGCCGCGGGGGGGAUGACGGCCUUCGGGGUGUAAACUCCUUUCGCUAGGGACGAAGCUGUUUGUGACGGUACCUAGAGAAGAAGCACCGGCUAACUACGUG
rnacentral:rRNA from 1 species